UACGGAGGUGCGAGCGUUGUCCGGAAUCACUGGGCGUAAAGGGCGCGUAGGCGGCCGUGUAAGUCACUUGUGAAAUCCCGGGGCUCAACUCCGGGGCUGCAGGUGAGACUGCGUGGCUAGAGCACGGUAGAGGCGAGUGGAAUUCCCGGUGUAGCGGUGGAAUGCGUAGAUAUCGGGAAGAACACCGGUGGCGAAGGCGGCUCGCUGGGCCGUUGCUGACGCUGAGGCGCGAAAGCGUGGGGAGCAAACAGG
rnacentral:rRNA from 1 species